CCUACGGGUGGCAGCAGUAGGGAAUAUUGCUCAAUGGGGGAAACCCUGAAGCAGCAACGCCGCGUGGAGGAUGACGGUUCUCGGAUUGUAAACUCCUUUUGUUAGAGAAGAUAAUGACGGUAUCUAACGACUAAGCACCGGCUAACGCCGUGCCAGCAGCCGCGGUCAUCCGGAGGGUGCAAGCGUUACUCGGAAUCACUGGGCGUAAAGAGCGCGUAGGCGGGAUAGCAAGUCAGAUGUGAAAUCCUAUGGCUUAACCAUAGAACUGCAGUUGAAACUGUUAUUCUAGAGUAUGGGAGAGGUAGGUGGAAUGCUUGGUGUAGGGGUAAAAUCCGUAGAGAGCAAGAGGAAUACUCAUUGCGAAGGCGACCUGCGAGAACAUAACUGACGCUGAUGCGCGAAAGCGUGGGGAGCGAACAGGAUUAGAUACCUGGGUAGUC
rnacentral:rRNA from 1 species